UCAUGGACCCUAUUUUUUUUUUUCAUUUGUUUUCAUGCUAACAUAGACUCCACUCACGUGAGGGACCUCACCAUAUAUACUAGAAUAUACCUUCACUAUAGGAGAGUUAUACAUCACCAUCAUCUUUCAAAAAAAAAAAAAAAAAGAAACUCUCCAUUUUUUGUUUCAAUUUUUCUGCUCAUGAUACACACAUAUACAUAGGCGGAAAAAAAAAUAUCACAUAUACACUAUGAUUUUUCUUUCUUCUGGAGGGAACACAGACACAAAAAAAUGAAUCAUUUUUCUUCUCAAGGAUAAAUUGUGCACCCAUAGAAUCAAUACGGAGAAAAUGGGUUUUAAAAUCGAGGGAGAAAGUUGAAAACUAGAAGGAAGAUAGUGUGAAAUUAGUUCAUUUUCUUUAGGUUUCGGUUAAAAUUUCACACUAACAGCUGAUCACUGUUUUGGGUGGUUUGUUGUCUGUGUUUAUUCACUGUUCCGGCAAUAUAGUCGCCGGAAAACGUCAAGGCGCACUGAAAUUUGUUAGAACAGGUGUUCGGAGUUUGGGGGUUUCAAUUUCUCGCCAUCGAUUUCUGUUCGUUUCGUUGUUGGGGUUCUGGUUCGAGAUUCUCGGUCUCGGGUUUUCUUAUUAUCAACAAAUUCGAUCCUUUGAAGAAUGUAGGUUCAGGUGCUCAGUAUCAACAACGUGAAUAGUUGAUGCAUCUUAAUUUUCAUCUGACAGUUAGUUUAGGUGCUCAGUAUCAGCAGCGUGAGUAGUUCGAGCAUCUUCAUCUACAUUCGAUAGUUGGAUCUGAGGCACAGUCUCGAGGUCCUGUUAAGCAAUAGAUCAUUGUCAGACGUUGAUAUUGGUGAGCCUCCCUUAUUUCGGAAGUCCUUGUCUUAUGUGACGUUUUUAAUUAUUUAUAGUUCAUGGUCCGAUCGGGGGCCUUGUCCCAGAUUCAGACAGAUGUUGUUUCCAAUAUUAAUAGAGAAUUCACAGAUUGGUGUUAGAUAUUUUUGAAUUUUUAUGAAUUCAUUUCAGUAUU